rnacentral:rRNA from 1 species
GACGAACGCUGGCGGCGUGCCUAAUACAUGCAAAUCGAGCGGAAUGAUGAAGAAGCUUGCUUCUUCUGAUUUUAGCGGCGGACGGUGAGUAACACGUGGGCAACCUACCUUGUAGAUUGGGAUAACUCCGGGAAACCCGGGGCUAAUACCGAAUAAUCCAUUUUGCUUCAUGGCGAGAUGUUGAAAGACGGUUUCGGCUGUCACUACAAGAUGGGCCCGCGGCGCAUUAGCUAGUUGGUAGGGUAAUGGCCUACCAAGGCGACGAUGCGUAGCCGACCUGAGAGGGUGAUCGGCCACACUGGGACUGAGACACGGCCCAGACUCCUACGGGAGGCAGCAGUAGGGAAUCUUCCACAGUGGACGAAAGUCUGAUGGAGCAACGCCGCGUGAGUGAAGAAGGUUUUCGGAACGUAAAACUCUGUUGUAAGGGAAGAACACGUACGAGAGUAACUGCUCGUACCUUGACGGUACCUUAUUAGAAAGCCACGGCUAACUACGUG